rnacentral:tRNA from 1 species
GGCUUUAUAGUUGAAUCCCACAACAUCAAACUGCAGCUUUGAAAGUGUAUUAAUUACUAAAGCUU